AACGAACGCUGGCGGCGCGCCUAAUACAUGCAAGUCGAGCGAGAAGGUGUAGCAAUACACUUGUAAAGCGGCGAACGGGUGAGGAAUACAUGGGUAAUCUACCAUCGAGUGGGGAAUAACCAGCCGAAAGGUUGGCUAAUACCGCGUACGCCUCCGAAUCUUCGGGUUCGGAGGGAAAGCCACACUGUGAGUGCGGCGCUCUUUGAUGAGCUCAUGUCCUAUCAGCUUGUUGGUAGGGUAACGGCCUACCAAGGCUUUGACGGGUAGCUGGUCUGAGAGGACGAUCAGCCACACUGGCACUGCGACACGGGCCAGACUCCUACGGGAGGCAGCAGUAAGGAUAUUGCGCAAUGGGCGAAAGCCUGACGCAGCGACGCCGCGUGGGGGAUGAAGGUCUUCGGAUUGUAAACCCCUUUCGGGAGGGAAGAUGGAGCGAGCAAUCGUUCGGACGGUACCUCCAGAAGCAGCCACGGCCAAC
rnacentral:rRNA from 1 species